AGAGUUUGAUCAUGGCUCAGAUUGAACGCUGGCGGCAGGCCUAACACAUGCAAGUCGAGCGGUAGCACAGAGAGCUUGCUCUCGGGUGACGAGCGGCGGACGGGUGAGUAAUGUCUGGGAAACUGCCUGAUGGAGGGGGAUAACUACUGGAAACGGUAGCUAAUACCGCAUAACGUCGCAAGACCAAAGUGGGGGACCUUCGGGCCUCAUGCCAUCAGAUGUGCCCAGAUGGGAUUAGCUAGUAGGUGGGGUAAUGGCUCACCUAGGCGACGAUCCCUAGCUGGUCUGAGAGGAUGACCAGCCACACUGGAACUGAGACACGGUCCAGACUCCUACGGGAGGCAGCAGUGGGGAAUAUUGCACAAUGGGCGCAAGCCUGAUGCAGCCAUGCCGCGUGUAUGAAGAAGGCCUUCGGGUUGUAAAGUACUUUCAGCGAGGAGGAAGGCGUUAAGGUUAAUAACCUUGGUGAUUGACGUUACUCGCAGAAGAAGCACCGGCUAACUCCGUGCCAGCAGCCGCGGUAAUACGGAGGGUGCAAGCGUUAAUCGGAAUUACUGGGCGUAAAGCGCACGCAGGCGGUCUGUCAAGUCGGAUGUGAAAUCCCCGGGCUCAACCUGGGAACUGCAUUCGAAACUGGCAGGCUAGAGUCUUGUAGAGGGGGGUAGAAUUCCAGGUGUAGCGGUGAAAUGCGUAGAGAUCUGGAGGAAUACCGGUGGCGAAGGCGGCCCCCUGGACAAAGACUGACGCUCAGGUGCGAAAGCGUGGGGAGCAAACAGGAUUAGAUACCCUGGUAGUCCACGCCGUAAAC
rnacentral:rRNA from 1 species